ACACUGGAUGUGUUUCAAUCCACAGGCGGCGUCGCUGUUAGGGAAGAUCAGUUCCAGGCUUCAGGCUGGCCCCUAGCCCCUGGGACGGGAUCCGGCAGCUGCUGAAAGAACAGCCUUGGUUCUGAUCUAACAAAUGCCCCUUUCCUGUCCCCACUCCCACAGGGAAGCCCGUUUCCUUGCGGUGGGAAAUGGUUUCCAGACUGCGCUGCAGGAGAGAUAGCACGCCCUGCGCUCAUACUGGCGUUCCGUCUACACUAGGAGUCGCACUCCGUUCUUAGAAGCCGCCUGCUGACGGCCGAAACGCUCCACACCUGGGCACGCUGAUAAGCAAACCGGGCCGCCUGCUUUGGCGCCGGCGGGAGAUUCAAACCCUGACAGGGGCGCCUGUGGGCCCGCCCCGCCCGCAGCCCCGCGUGGGCGGCGCUCGCGCCCGGCGGCCAGCAGCGCUGCGGACACCCUGCACGCCCUGGGGGUGGGGGUGUGGCGCCGCCAGCCUCAGCUCGCCGAGGGCGUGUGGUGGGCGUCGCUCCUGCCUUCGCGACCCCCGAACACGUCGCUUCUCCGUGUGCUGUUUGUCGUCCCCUUUUCUCAGGCUGAAAAACUCCGUUCCUAUUGAUGCUCACCUAAUCGUGCACGCCCUUUUCCUAUAAUAACACGCAGGUUCAGAAUAACGAUCAAUGCGAUUAUUGAAAGCUGCCUGAUCCGUGUUACAACGCAUCUUAUCCGUAGGGAAUGGCUAUGUAGGAGCGACCAUUAAAGUACUGAGUUUUAAACGACUUUGUUAUUCUUGGCUUGCUAUGCUGUUGCCCGAUAUGUAGUUUUAUUUUAAUGCCUUUUUUAGGGUUUUUUUCUUUUCUGACUUAAUUGGCUUUAUAAAUAUUCAUGUGGUAUCAAAGAAGAUUCGGAGAAGUCUAGCUCCUGGCCCUGUCUGCUGUACCCUGCAUUUUCACACGUGUGUGGUGUAUCUCUUCCUUGUUUCUUUUUAACAAAGGAAAUUAUGCGUGGAUGCCCCUAAGCCCAUUCUUAUAGAUCGACACGCCAGAUGCGAGUUUUCCUACUCCGCCUUUUACAUUGUAUAAUAUCUGCGGGCAGGCACUCCACAGCGCUGGGCUGCCACAUUUUCCGACCCUGUAACAAGUACCUGUAGCUGCAUAACUACCUAACGGGUAUUAAUGCAAACGGGUUUAUUCUGCUCAGCGUUCUGGAGGCAUCAAGUGUGGCCACAUCACAAUAUGACAGGUGACUGCUUCACGGCGAGAUCCUGUGCCCGAGGGAGAUCACACCGGGAGACUGGAGCCAGAGAGACUCUCCAGACCCAGCUCUGGGGAGAUCCGCACUAAUCCCGCUGUGGGCCGGGUCCCAGGGACCCAAACACCUCCCCUGAGGCCCCGCCUCUUAAAGGCACAUUACCCCAACAACACCACACUGGGGACCAAAACCACAGGAGCCCAGGGAGAACAACCCGCGCUGGAUCACAGCAGCCGUGCAUGGACACGUUCCAGUGUUUCUGUAGCAGUAGGUUGACCAAGGGCACUUACACCUGUUGCAGCAGCUGGUAAGUCUGGUACCAAUUCUGUUGUGUGGAGACACACGGAUGCAGAGGUGUAGCCCUUCACCACAUUGUCUCUGCUUUUGUUCACUGCUUUUUGCAGUCUACUGUUUGAGUUUUGAAUUUGUGGUUUAACGGCCACACUUCCCCACGUCUUUAUUUACUACAUUGGUUGCUUGUUUUUGAGUUCAUGUGUUCCUGCAUCUGAUCAUUAUAAAAACCUUCUCACAACAUUUCAUUUGAAGUAAUAUUCACUUCCUUCCUGGUCAUGCCUGAAAGGCUAUCGGGCUUAGUUUAUUUUCCAUACAUUCCUCUCCCUGACCCACACCUCCGGUUACUGUGUUGUCUGCACUUCCGGGCAAUGCUGUUGUCAGUGCCUGAUGCACCGCUUUCCUUAAAAGGCUGACUUGCUUCUGCGUUUCCGUAUACACUGAACGCCAGCACUGCUGCUUGUUAAAUGUGUCUUCAGUCAUUUGGGUUGUUUGAAGCUUGACCUCUAGGCGUUUCAGCAAGUAGGAUGAGGAGACACAGCCGCUGAGUUCUUUCAAGUUCAAAACCGCUCUUCUGCAGCCUUGCUACUUGAAAGUCUCCUUGUGGAGGUCUGUUAUCUGCUGUGCUUUUGCUGUUCCCUAGAAAAGUUAUUUUGUCAUUCUUUCUGUUGUCAAAAUAAAUGUGUGGAACAUU